AGAAGGGUGGUCCAAUGGUUAAGGUGUUAGCCUGGUAAGAAUGAGACCAGGGCUCAACUCCCUGCUCUGCUA
rnacentral:tRNA from 1 species